UAAUUUGUUCACAGGACAGUCCUGCUAUUCCUCAAGAAGAUACAUGCUGAGUGUUGAUCGGCACCUCGUCAGCACAAACAUAUCCUCCUUCAUUUCUGCACUGUGCCUCAUGUUCGGGAGCUACUACAAUUUCAACAUCCAUUAUCCAUCUGAGCUGGCUUCCACUUUAGAGUUUCUUCAGAGGUGUUUCUUCUCCAUAAACCCAGAAAAAGGAACCAAAGUAGAGAACAAAAACUCAAAGCGUCGUCUCAGUGUGAACCCUCGAGUCCUCACCCUGAUUCAGGAUCUCGCCGACCACGAGUGGCGCUAAGCCUAAAUCUUGACUCUCUGUGGACUGUUAGUUUUACUUUGUUAAUUUUGUUCCACAAUGUGUACUGGAACCUUUUACUGGUCGAAUGCAUGAAGCCAAUUCAUGAAGAUGUUCUUUCUUUGUAGGAAUGUUCUUUAUUUACAUAAGAAAAGAAAAAAAACAACAUGCUGCUACUGCAGUGUUUCUAGACCACAUGUGUAGGUUUGUUUCACCACGUGGUUUUGCUGAUGUUUUCUGACCAGGGCCAUGGUUGUGGUGACAGCAGGGUGCGUGUUGCGUUGCACGGUGAUUAUGAUCAUUUUUGACACAAUAUGUGUUUUUUGUUUUAAAGUCUUAACAGGUUAGUUAACUUUUUCUGGUGGAGGGUCUAACAAAUGCUUGUUUCAUGAACAUGGUUCUUGCUUUGCAGGAAUGUUCCACAGCUUUUAUAGCCUAUAUUUUGAUUGAAUUGUGUAGUUGCUGUGUGCCUUGCAUAUUGUGUUAGUUGGAAAAAUGGAUCCAUUUGCUGUCAUUUUGCUAAUGUGGCUGCAAAAUAAAUUUCCCAAAAGUGA